AGUGAACGCUGGCGGUAGGCCUAACACAUGCAAGUCGAACGGCAGCACAGUAAGAGCUUGCUCUUACGGGUGGCGAGUGGCGGACGGGUGAGGAAUACAUCGGAAUCUACUUUUUCGUGGGGGAUAACGUAGGGAAACUUACGCUAAUACCGCAUACGACCUACGGGUGAAAGCAGGGGAUCUUCGGACCUUGCGCGUUUGAAUGAGCCGAUGUCGGAUUAGCUAGUUGGCGGGGUAAAGGCCCACCAAGGCGACGAUCCGUAGCUGGUCUGAGAGGAUGAUCAGCCACACUGGAACUGAGACACGGUCCAGACUCCUACGGGAGGCAGCAGUGGGGAAUAUUGGACAAAGGGCGCAAGCCUGAUCCAGCCAUACCGCGUGAGUGAAGAAGGCCUUCGGGUUGUAAAGCCCUUUUGUUGGGAAAGAAAAGCAGCAGGUUAAUACCCCGCUGUUCUGACGGUACCCAAAGAAUAAGCACCGGCUAACUUCGUG
rnacentral:rRNA from 1 species